AACAAACGCUGGCGGCGUGCCUAAUACAUGCAAGUCGAACGGGGAAAGCUUUCGGGUGAGUACUAGUGGCGCACGGGUGAGGAACGCGUGGGUAAUUUUCCUUGAAGUGGGGGAUAACUAGUCGAAAGAUUAGCUAAUACCGCAUAAGACCACGAAAUCUGAGGAUUUUGAGGUAAAAGGUUUUUCGCUUCAAGAUAAGCCCGCGUAAGAUUAGCUAGUUGGUGAGGUAAUGGCUCACCAAGGCGACGAUCUUUAGCUGGUCUGAGAGGAUGAUCAGCCACACUGGAACUGAGACACGGUCCAGACUCCUACGGGAGGCAGCAGUAGGGAAUAUUGCACAAUGGAGGAAACUCUGAUGCAGCGACGCCGCGUGAGUGAUGAAGGACUUCGGUUCGUAAAGCUCUGUCGCAUGGGAAUAAUAAAUGAAGGUACCAUGCAAGAAAGGAUCGGCUAACUUCGUGCCAGCAGCCGCGGUAC
rnacentral:rRNA from 1 species